GGAGGGGUGGCAGAGCGGUUCAAUGCACCGGUCUUGAAAACCGGCGGGCGAAAGCCCUCGUGGGUUCGAAUCCCACCCCCUCCG
rnacentral:tRNA from 2 species